rnacentral:sRNA from 1 species
AUGUUGGCCAGGAUGGUCUCGAUCUCCUGACCUCGUGAUACGCCCGCCUCGGCCUCCCAAAGUGCUGGGGUUACAGGCGUGAGCCACUGCGCCUGGUCACGUCUUAGUCAUAGAAUCUUAAAGCCAGAGCGAGAGGCUCCUGGGUUCACAGACUCUUAGAAAAUAAGCGGGAAGGGACUUCCCCAAGGUCACACGGCCAGCGCGCUGUGGCAGAGAGCAGUGUGCGGAUGGGUUGGAGAGCUGCGGGGAUUUCCUUCCCCCUUCAGAGUCCUCUUCCUUGGCCCAUGUCCAAGUGUCCCAGCCCCAGGUAGCGGGACAGGAAAGGGGCGUGGCUGGCCCCCCGCUUAGACCCAGGAAGGCGGGAGGGACCCCUUGGGCACUGGAGCUCCUGGGUGGCCCUGCAGCCGGCACUCCCCCGUCUUCCAGAUGACAAUUUGUCGGGCACGAGCGGUAUGGAAGUGGACGACCGCGUGUCGGCGCUGGAGCAGCGGCUGCAGUUACAGGAAGACGAGCUGGCGGUCCUAAAGGCGGCGCUGGCGGAUGCUCUGCGUCGCCUGCGGGCAUGCGAAGAACAGGGAGCGGCGCUACGCGCGCGGGGCACCCCCAAGGGCCGGGCGCCUCCGCGCUUAGGCACCACUGCCUCGGGUAUCCCCGUUAGACUGGAGGGGUGGGAUGGGGAGGACCGGGGCCUGGUCCUCAUACUCACCCUCUUCUGUCCCCUAACCCCAUCCCUCCAGUGUGUCAGCUCUUGAAAGGCCUUCCCACCAGGACGCCCCUUAAUGGCUCGGGACCCCCGCGGCGCGUGGGUGGCUAUGCCACGUCCCCAUCCUCUCCCAAGAAGGAGGCGACCUCCGGGCGCAGGUAAGGCACAAGGCCGGGACCCCCAGCCUCUUCCAAGACCUCGUGGGAGACAGAGGUGGUUUGUUUGCCUGAGCUCCAGCAGCAGAGGGUGCAGGGAGAAUCUCGCUUGCUCACGGCACUCGCCUGCUGGCCUAGAAGGCUCUGCCCCCAACUGUGUGCUCUCUUUUAGCAGUGUCCGCCGCUACUUGUCACCAGAGCGCCUCGCCUCGGUGCGCCGUGAGGACCCCCGCAGCCGGACCACAUCCUCCAGCAGCAACUGUAGCGCCAAAAAGGAAGGGUAAGGACUGGGGCGGCGUCAAGCCGCAGAAAGAGAUAGGGAGGAAAUGGUCGAGAAAUGUAGUCAUGCCCCAGGCCACGAGGUCGUAACCUAGAGUGGGGCCAGCUAGUUCAAAAGCGGGGACGGUGCCAGAGCCUUGGAGGGACCAAUCUUGAGGUGGCACGGUAACAGUGGAAGGUCUGGGAGGGCGGGGUCAAUAUUGAGGGGCGUGGCCAGAGUUUUUAGAAGCUGGACGGUCAGGUCUACUGGGUGAGGAAGUCAGGGAGGAGCUUGGCUUAUGGGCGUGGUUAUUAAGGUACAGGAGAGGCCCCAUUGAGUUUCAGGGAUGAAGUCAAGGCAGCAGCCACAGAGUUUCUGCAAGGAAAGAGGGAGUCUGAGGAAUUUAAGGGUGCAGCCACAGUGUUCGCCUGGGCGAAAUUAAAAUCUGGGGUACGGAGUAACAGAGGCUGAGACCAGGUGGAGGCAUUCCAGAUUCCAGAAGCUUUGACAUCAAAAUCGGGGGCACUGCCAGGUUGAAAAGGGCGUGGCUUAAAGGUUGGGCGGGGCCGUAGGGGCGUGGUCAAAUGCCAAGAGGUGGAGCCAACUUGGAGGCCUCGAAGGUACUCACAUAAGGAAUACGUGAAAAUGGACGUAAUCAGAAUGCCUGGCGGGCCGGAGAAGGAGCGUUGGCGGGAGGUAGCAGUCAAUUCUCAAGCAACUGAGUCAACUCAGGGACAGGGUUAGAAGGGAGGCUCAGAAUGACAGGCGUGCUCCAGAGGCGGGGCCAUACUGAAGAUCUGGACAGAGUCAAAACCUAAGGCUAUAUAAUUCUAGCAGUUUGGGAGGCGGAGGCGGGAAUCAUCGCUUGAGCUCAGGAGUUCGAGACCAGGCUGGGCAAAAUAGCGAGCCCUCGUCUUUACUAAAAAUGAAAAUAAAUUAGGCCUGGCGCGGUGGCUCACGCCUGUAAUCCCAGCACUUCGGGAGGCCUAGGCGGGUGGAUCACAAGGUCAAGAGAUCGAGACCAUCCUGGCCAACAUGGUGAAACCCCCUGUCUAUUAAUAAUACAAAAAUUAGCUGGGCGUGGUGGCGCGUGCCUGUAGUCCCAGCUACUCGGGAGGCUGAGGCAGGAGAAUCACUUCAACCCGGGAGGCGGAGGUUGCAGUGAGCUGAGAUCGCGCCACUGCACUCCAGCCUGCUGACAGAGCAAGACUCCGUUAAACAAACAAACAAACAAACAAAAAAAAAAAA